AACGAACGCUGGCGGCGUGCUUAACACAUGCAAGUCGAGCGUGAAAGCCCCUUCGGGGGUGAGUAAAGCGGCAGACGGGUGAGUAACACGUGGGUAACCUACCCCUGGGUGGGGGAUAACUACUCGAAAGGGUGGCUAAUACCGCAUAAGACCACGGCCUUUAGGGGCUCGCGGUCAAAGGCGCAAGCCGCCUGGGGAGGGGCCCGCGGCCGAUUAGCUAGUUGGCGGGGUAAGAGCCCACCAAGGCGACGAUCGGUAGCUGGUCUGCGAGGAUGAUCAGCCAAGCUGGUACUGAGACACGGACCAGACUCCUACGGGAGGCAGCGGUGGGGAAUAUUGCGCAAUGGGCGAAAGCCUGACGCAGCAACGCCGCGUGGGUGAUGAAGGCCUUCGGGUCGUAAAGCCCUGUCAGGUGGGACGAAACCUCCUCGCGAGGGGAGCUGACGGUACCACCGGAGGAAGCACCGGCUAACUCCGUGCCAGCCGCCGCCGUAAUAC
rnacentral:rRNA from 1 species